GCAAAACAGCAAAGCAGCAACAAGCACAGACCACAAACUGCACGUUCCAGCAGUGAAAGCAUCUGUUCUGCUGUGAAACAUUCCGCAGGAGCUGGAGCUGCAGGCAAGCAAGACGACGCAGAACAGAUAUAAAGGAAGACAAACUGACUGACGGUCUCAAACAAACAGCAACACGAGGUUAGAACACAUCUACAAAACCAGCAAGAAAAUGAACUGCAAACUCCAGGCAAUAACUCUCUUGGCUCUAGCAUUUGUCUGUGCAGAGAGCACUGUCAAUCCACCUAGAUGUCUUUGCUUGAAUGUUGUUAAAAAGGUGCCAAACAGACUGAUAGAGGACUACUUAAUCAUUCCGAAAGAAACACAUUGCUCAAAGACUCAAAUCAUACUUGCGGUAAAUGUGAACAACUCACAAAUGGAAACGUGCCUUGACCCUGCAACAAAUCAAGGCAGAGCACUUGUCCAAUGCUGGGAAAGAAUUGGCCAAGAUAUCACAAGGAAGAGGGAAUGUAUUCCACUAAGGAAGAGAGGCACCAACAACUAAGAAAGAAUCAGACCCAUAAAGGAGAAGUGGAAGGAAUGUGAUGCCCUUGGAGAAGAUUUAAACAAACAAAGGAAAUCCUCACCUUUUGACUUCUGAUGUCUCUUGUGAUGUGCAUCACAGGGGCAUCUAAUUUUUAAAAAAUUGCUCAAACUUAUCAUUUCAAAACCAAGAACCAAAAAUUGUUCUCUUGUGUCUUGAUUCAACCCAUUGACGGUAUUAGCUGUAUUUAAUUUCAGUAUAUUUAGGUGAAACAAAAGCUAAUCUAAUGAAGCAAAUAGGUUAUUUAUAUAUUGACAUUUAAUUCCGUAAGUUACAUUGAUAUUUCUUGUCAUUCGCACUUUCAUGUCAAAUUUGUCCAAAGCACUGUAUAAAAUCUGUUGCUAUAGCACAUGGUGUCACAAUGCAGAUCACGGCUUGUCACACAAAAAAAGAUCACCAGACAAAUGGAGACCUUUGUGCUGUGCAAGUUGCUGAACCGAUUAAUCGUAGAUCGAAGUAACCGGGUCAGUUAAUGUAACUAAACUAUAAUGCAUUCCAUAAGUAAUGCACAUUAAAAAUGUCAGUUUGAAUCUUUA